rnacentral:rRNA from 1 species
GAUGAACGCUGGCGGCGUGCCUAAUACAUGCAAGUCGAGCGAACAGACGAGAGUGCUUGCACUCUCUGACGUUAGCGGCGGACGGGUGAGCAACACGUGGGUAACCUACCUAUAAGACUGGGAUAACUUCGGGAAACCGGAGCUAAUACCGGAUAAUAUUUAGCUUCGCAUGAAGCAAUAGUGAAAGACGGUUCUGCUGUCACUUAUAGAUGGACCCGCGGUGUAUUAGCUAGUUGGUGAGGUAACGGCUCACCAAGGCAACGAUACAUAGCCGACCUGAGAGGGUGAUCGGCCACACUGGGACUGAGACACGGCCCAGACUCCUACGGGAGGCAGCAGUAGGGAAUCUUCCGCAAUGGACGGAAGUCUGACGGAGCAAUGCCGCGUGAGUGAAGAAGGUUUUCGGAUCGUAAAACUCUGUUGUAAGGGAAGAACAAGUACGUUAGUAACUGAACGUACCUUGACGGUACCUUACCAGAAAGCCACGGCUAACUACGUG